rnacentral:lncRNA from 1 species
GCUCCGACUCCGCUCGAAGGCGGCGGCGACGGCGGCUGCAGCAGCAGAAGCCGGCGAGCGAGCGAGGCUCGCCGAAUGGACGGAACGCCUCCGGUACGCCAGUCGACCGUGAGAAGCACAACGCUCGCCUGGAGCCUUCCCGGGCUUCCGCCGCCUUCCGCGGAAGGUGCGGCGCUGCCUUGUGGCGGUGACCGAGGAGAGUGGGGCCUGGGCGGCCUCUCCGGGCUCCCGAAGCCAGACCGCCGCCACGCCGGGAGCUGCUGCGGCCACGCCGGGAGCUGCGGCCUGGGGUCCGAGCGAGCGGGCGAGCGCGGCCUCGGGGGCGGGGAGAAGCCGAGGGUGGCGUGGGUCCGCCCACCGGGGGACGCGCAGCGUGUUUGUGUUUGUGUUUUCCUCGGACACCCCGCCCCCGAGCACCUCCUGCGGGCUGUCCCCGGGCUGUCCCCAGCCUGCUGCGCGGCGCGGCGCGGUGCCUGCGGUGCUUCGGUCCUCCCACCGCCCCGCUACCUGCGCUACCUGGGUGCGCUCCCCGAGACACUCGCCGCACGCCGCCCGCACCUCCCGAGCAUAAUACACUGUGAAACCUGAGGAGCUAUCUCAGCAGAAAAGACCUUGCCUUGUGGACUUCAACUCUGGAGACACUAAGCCCGGCAAGAGAAAAAAGAAAUUGUAAGUAGAGUUCUCAUACAUUAGAUGUGCCUAGUCCCCGGCCAAAUGAUACGGCAGAGAAGGGUACUGGGCCUAGGUGGAAAUGAGUGUGGCGGGUUUA